UUAACACCUAUAAACAAGUGUUUCAAAAACCUAUAAUCUAUUAAAUCAUUAUACAAAAGGUUUUGAAAAUACUUAUCUAAUUUAAUUAAAAAAAAAACUCGAAUUGAACUUUUAUUCUUUCACUCUUCAGCCCACACCGAUCUCCCCGUUGUUGCAGUCCUCCAUUGUUUUCGUAUCUCCCACACUGCCCUCCCCUGUCACAUCUUUUCCUAGCGCCGCCAGUUCACUCCAUUUCCAAAUCGUAGAUGCAUCCC
rnacentral:lncRNA from 1 species